CAGUAGCCGCGGGAAUACGUAGGUGGCAAGCGUUAUCCGGAAUUAUUGGGCGUAAAGCGCGCGUAGGCGGUUUUUUAAGUCUGAUGUGAAAGCCCCCGGCUCAACCGGGGAGGGUCAUUGGAAACUGGGAAACUUGAGUGCAGAAGAGGAGAGUGGAAUUCCACGUGUAGCGGUGAAAUGCGUAGAGAUGUGGAGGAACACCAGUGGCGAAGGCGACUCUCUGGUCUGUAACUGACGCUGAGGAGCGAAAGCGUGGGGAGCGAACAGGAUUAGAUACCCCUGUAGUCCCUGUCUCUUAUAC
rnacentral:rRNA from 1 species